rnacentral:rRNA from 1 species
UACAGAGGGUGCGGGCGUUAUUCGGAAUUACUGGGCGUAAAGCGCACGUAGUCGGCUUUGCAAGUCGGGUGUGAAAUCCCCGGGCUCAACCUGGGAACUGCAUCCGAGACUGCAUUGCUAGAGUAUGGGAGAGGGAAGCGGAAUUUCUGGUGUAGCAGUGAAAUGCGUAGAUAUCAGAAGGAACAUCAGUGGCGAAGGCGGCUUCCUGGACCAAUACUGACGAUCAGGUGCGAAAGCGUGGGGAGCAAACAGG